GGGUGGAGGGCAGGAGGACACCCGGGGCCUGACCUGAGCACAGCAGGACCUUGCUAUCCCACCAGACCGGAGUACACAGGCCGCAUGUGAAGGAAGAGGCUGAUCUUUGGGCUUUCCAAAAGCUGCAGUUCUGGGACCUGGGGGAAAAUUGGAGUGCCUGGCUUCCAAGCAGGCAUAAUGGCUCUCUGCAAGACCAAGUAUGUACAAACAUCCCUUGAGCAGCCCUGCAAGCCUGAUGCUUCACCAAUGGGCGCCCGGGCUUCAUAACUGCUGAAAAUCAUGGUGUUGAUUAUCAGCACAGUGACGGUGCCAGGUGCUGCGGAAUCAGCUUGGAUUUUGAUUUUGCUUCCUUUAUGUGAAGCCAGGAGGGAGCUUAGCGCCCAGCACUCCAUGCCCCACCCCCACCACAUCGCAGCCUCCCACAGUCACCAGGAAAAGCGGGGGCUUUCAGCGGCAGCCAGAAGGAAUUCAGAAACAUCACAUUUCAUUUCGGGAAGAAUUGGAUCAGCACCAGUUUGGUGUUGAGGCCAUGAGAUUGUGGCAUUUUUAUCCCAAAUUUAUCCUCCCUUGGUCUCUCUCAGUGUGUGUGUCUGUAGGAAGUCAUCGUGUAGCAUUAUGCUAUGAAGAAAGCAUCCCACACUUAUUCAGUUGCAUCGUCCCACAUUCUGGAUCGGGAGACACAGACUGAAGUCAACCUGCAGCUGCCUAAUUUUGCAGGGAAGCAGCUAUCCUGAUGUUUGCAGGUUGGAGGCCUCCAAGUGACACACAUCAGGAAGAAAUGGGCUCUCCAAUCCCAGAUGAGCUGAAACACAAACGUUUUCUGAGGGAACAGUCAGGAGUCCUAUCUUUCUGAGCCCUUUUCGAUGCAAGCAACCAUUGAUGAAGAAGCAUUUAUGCUUGAUACCUAUUGCAGGUGUUCUUCGGUGUGGAGAUGUCAAUGAAAGAUUCAAAAGUGGUUCAAUUA